GACACAGUCCACAGACCCCUGGGUCUGUGCAGUCACCAGCCAGUCCCCUGAGAACUUUCCCCUCCAGCACCCGGCAAAAUGGGAUUUUUGCUCCUUGUCAUUGUCGCUGUAGCCGCUUUGGAAGGUGUCCGGUCCCAGACGCUGGUGGAGUCCGGAGGGGGUGUGAAAAAGCCCGGAGACUCUCUCCGCCUCUCCUGCAAAGCCUCCGGCUUCACCUUCAGCAGCUACGACAUGAGCUGGGUCCGCCAGGCUCCCGGGAAAGGAUUAGAAUGGGUCGCUGCUAUAAGCUAUGAUGGGAGUACUACAUACUACCUUGAUUCAGUGAAAGGGCGAUUCACCAUCUCCAGGGAUAACUCCAAGAGUGAGCUGUAUCUGCAAAUGACCGGCCUGAAGCCCGAGGACACCGCCCGCUAUUACUGUGCGGGAGACACAGUGAAACGAAACCGGUUUGUGAUCAUCCUAGAUGGGGAAGAGAAAUUUGAUAACGGGCUCUUCAGUCUGGCAGACAAAGGGUACAACAGGAUCCGAUGCUGGAAGCUGAAGCUAGAUAAUGUCCAGCUGGAAAGAAGGUGA